UAGGGAAUCUUCGGCAAUGGGGGGAACCCUGACCGAGCAACGCCGCGUGAGUGAAGAAGGUUUUCGGAUCGUAAAGCUCUGUUGUUAAGGAAGAACGAGUGUGAGAAUGGAAAGUUCAUACUGUGACGGUACUUAACCAGAAAAGGACGGCUAACUACGUGCCAGCAGCCGCGGUAAUACGUAGGUCCCGAGCGUUGUCCGGAUUUAUUGGGCGUAAAGCGAGCGCAGGCGGUUAGAUAAGUCUGAAGUUAAAGGCAGUGGCUCAACCAUUGUAGGCUUUGGAAACUGUUUAACUUGAGUGCAGAAGGGGAGAGUGGAAUUCCAUGUGUAGCGGUGAAAUGCGUAGAUAUAUGGAGGAACACCGGUGGCGAAAGCGGCUCUCUGGUCUGUAACUGACGCUGAGGCUCGAAAGCGUGGGGAGCGAACAGG
rnacentral:rRNA from 1 species